GCCUGCCCAGUGACCACAUUAAACGGCCGCGGUAUCCUAACCGUGCAAAGGUAGCGUAAUCACUUGUUCUUUAAAUAUGGACUAGUAUGAACGGCCCCACGAGAGCUUGGCUGUCUCCUUUCUCUAAUCAGUGAAACUAAUCUCCCCGUGAAGAAGCGAGGAUAAAUCUAUAAGACGAGAAGACCCUAUGGAGCUUUAAACAACACAUCAUUUACCACUAAAAUUUCUUUAACUAAAUCAUUGGACAACAUGACUGUACGUUUUUGGUUGGGGUGACCGCGGAGUAAAACAUAACCUCCACAUUGAAUGAUUCUUAAACCAAGAACAACCUAUCUAAGAAUUACUAUUAUAACACCCAUUGACCCAAUACACUUGAACAACGAACCAAGUUACCCUAGGGAUAACAGCGCA
rnacentral:rRNA from 1 species